rnacentral:lncRNA from 10 species
CUGUCCUCAUGGUAGUAAGUGAGUUCUCGCUCUAUUAAUUCCCAUGAGAGCUGGUUGUUAAAAAGAGUCUGGCAACUCCCCCAUCUCUUUUUUGCUUCUUCUCUCACCACGUGAGCUCUGCACACACUGGCUCCCCUUCAUCUUCCACCAUGAGUGGAAGCAGCCCGAGGCUUUCAUCAGAUGCCCAGUCUUCCAGCCAGCAGAAUUGUUGAAUCUUCCUUCCCAAAAUCCCAAUGAUGCAUCAGGCUACUCUUCGGAUUCUCCGUAUCACAUGAAAGAUACAGAGUUUAUUCAAAUAUAGGCGCUGGGGCUUGCCCAUGGUGCUCUU